CAGAUCCGUUUCAUCCUGUUGCAGAAUCGGCAGGGGAAGACGCGGCUGGCCAAGUACUACGUCCCGCUCGAGGACUCAGAGAAGCACAAGGUUGAAUAUGAGGUGCAUCGGCUGGUCGUCAACAGGGACCCCAAGUUCACUAACUUCGUUGAGUUCCGUACGCACAAAGUUAUCUACAGGAGAUAUGCAGGACUAUUUUUCUCAAUAUGUGUAGAUAUCACGGAUAAUGAGUUGGUAUACUUGGAAUGUAUCCACUUAUUUGUGGAGAUAUUGGACCAUUUCUUCAGCAACGUGUGUGAACUUGAUUUAGUAUUUAACUUCCACAAGGUUUACUUGAUAUUGGAUGAGUUUAUUCUCGCUGGAGAGUUGCAAGAAACAAGCAAAAAGGCGAUUAUAGAGAGAAUGGGUGAACUUGAGAAGCUGGAUUAA
rnacentral:rRNA from 1 species